CUGAGUGAGGGUUCUUUAUGAGCCCAACCUCCAACCCUUUGUUAAAAUCACUUUGUUGCUUUGGCGGGUCCGUCCUCUCGGGGACCGCCGGAGGGGUUUAGUCACCUCUGGUCCGUACCUGCCAGUGGCCAAAUCAAAUUCUUUAUAAUUAUGUCGUCUGAUUUCUUAAUUAAAAUUUAAUUA
rnacentral:misc_RNA from 1 species